UAGGGAAUCUUCGGCAAUGGGGGGAACCCUGACCGAGCAACGCCGCGUGAGUGAAGAAGGUUUUCGGAUCGUAAAGCUCUGUUGUUAAGGAAGAACGAGUGUGAGAAUGGAAAGUUCAUGCUGUGACGGUACUUAACCAGAAAGGGACGGCUAACUACGUGCCAGCAGCCGCGGUAAUACGUAGGUCCCGAGCGUUGUCCGGAUUUAUUGGGCGUAAAGCGAGCGCAGGCGGUUAGAAAAGUCUGAAGUGAAAGGCAGUGGCUCAACCAUUGUAGGCUUUGGAAACUGUUUAACUUGAGUGCAGAAGGGGAGAGUGGAAUUCCAUGUGUAGCGGUGAAAUGCGUAGAUAUAUGGAGGAACUCCGGUGGCGAAAGCGGCUCUCUGGUCUGUAACUGACGCUGAGGCUCGAAAGCGUGGGGAGCGAACAGG
rnacentral:rRNA from 1 species